CUACGCGUGGGUGGGCAACAGCGGGGACCCUCCCUCGUUCCCGGAAGACGGGCCGCCCUUUUUUACACCCCAAACCCAUUUCAUAUGGUCUGGGGGUGAAUUGAAAAAAAAGUCAAUUUUUUUCUAAAAAAAACAACCAUUAUAAAGCAAAGGAAUUGGUUCGUUCUGCCAACGAUGAAGACCGCCGAGAAUCGCGAUACCUCUUGUGACAAGCAGAAGUGAAUCAUCGAAUUGAAGAAAGCACCUUGCGCUCCCUGCAGAUCUAUCCUGGGGAGCGUGCCUGUUUGAGGGCCACGAAAUGUUUCGAACGGCAGCUUUCUUCCUUUUUUUUGCGAGAGAGUUGGCGGAUCGGUAGUGAGGGGUUGCCAGUUACCAUGGCUCCCUCGAAAUGCAUUAGCGCAUCCAUUUGAGAGGCAAGGACGGGCGAAAGCUCGCUUUUUCGCCCUCCUCUUCCUCCUGCCGGGUUUUGAUAAUAUCAGGACUUCGGAGGGGAGAAGAGGGUCUGGGUUAAGAGCUGGACGCACCGUGUUUUGCUGGUUGGAGUGCUUCUGAACCCCGCCCAUGCCCGCACACGUCGGGAAGGGAACGAUGUAGUAUAUUCUACAACAUCAAUUCCAUCGGCCUCAGAUUGGUAGGACUACCCGCUGAACUUAAGCAUAUCAAUAAGCGGAGGA
rnacentral:rRNA from 1 species